rnacentral:sRNA from 1 species
AAGCAGCCACGAUAGCAGCGACAUCCUUUUUUGCGUCAGUUCGAGUUGGCGAAGCAAGUAUCGAGAACAAGCAAAAAAGAUAUAGCGGAUAGCGUGAAUUGCU